rnacentral:rRNA from 1 species
GAUGAACGCUAGCGACAGGCCUAACACAUGCAAGUCGAGGGGCAGCAUAGAAGUAGCAAUACUUUGGUGGCGACCGGCGCACGGGUGAGUAACGCGUAUGCAACCUACCUAUCAGAGGGGAAUAACCCGGCGAAAGUCGGACUAAUACCGCAUAAAACAGGGGCACCGCAUGGUGAUAUUUGUUAAAGAAAUUCGCUGAUAGAUGGGCAUGCGUUCCAUAAGGUAGUUGGUGAGGUAACGGCUCACCAAGCCGACGAUGGAUAGGGGAACUGGGAGGUGGGUCCCCCACACUGGUACUGAGACACGGACCAGACUCCUACGGGAGGCAGCAGUGAGGAAUAUUGGUCAAUGAGCGGGAGCCUGAACCAGCCAAUUCGCGUGAAGGAAUAAGGAUCUAUGGUUCGUAAACUUCUUUUGCAGGGGAAUAAAGUGCGGGACGUGUCCUGUUUUGUAUGUACCCUGAGAAUAAGGAUCGGCUAACUCCGUGCCAGCCGCCGCAGUAACAC